rnacentral:pre_miRNA from 1 species
UGGCCUGGGGAGCAGGGCUUAGCUGCUUGUGAGCAGAGUCCACACCAAGUCGUGUUCACAGUGGCUAAGUUCCGCCCCCCGG